CCAUACGACCGUACCGCAAACCGACACUGGUGCGCGAGAUGAGUAUUCUAAGGCGCUUGAGAGAACUCAGGAGAAGGAACUCGGCAAAUUGACACCGUAACUUCGGAAGAAGGUGUGCCCUAUUAGUGUGUAGUGAACAACGAAGCAUGAAUGGGUUGCAAAAAAUCGGUGGCUGCGACUGUUUAUUAAAAACACAGCACUCUGCAAACACGAAAGUGGACGUAUAGGGUGUGACGCCUGCCCGGUGCUGGAAGAUUAAAUGAUGGGGUGCAAGCUCUUGAUUGAAGUCCCAGUAAACGGCGGCCGUAACGAUAACGGUCCUAAGGUAGCGAAAUUCCUUGUCGGGUAAGUUCCGACCUGCACGAAUGGCGUAACGAUGGCCACACUGUCUCCUCCUGAGACUCAGCGAAGUUGAAAUGUUUGUGAUGAUGCAAUCUCCCCGCGGAAAGACGGAAAGACCCCAUGAACCUUUACUGUAGCUUUGUAUUGGACUUUGAACAGAUCUGUGUAGGAUAGGUGGGAGGCUUUGAAGCAGGGUCGCUAGAUCUUGUGGAGCCAACGUUGAAAUACCACCCUGGUGUGUUUGAGGUUCUAACCUAGGUCCAUUAUCUGGAUCGGGGACAGUGCAUGGUAGGCAGUUUGACUGGGGCGGUCUCCUCCCAAAGCGUAACGGAGGAGUUCGAAGGUACGCUAGUUACGGUCGGACAUCGUGACGAUAGUGCAAUGGCAUAAGCGUGCUUAACUGCGAGACUGACAAGUCGAGCAGAUGCGAAAGCAGGACAUAGUGAUCCGGUGGUUCUGUAUGGAAGGGCCAUCGCUCAACGGAUAAAAGGUACUCUGGGGAUAUCAGGCUGAUACCGCCCAAGAGUUCAUAUCGACGGCGGUGUUUGGCACCUCGAUGUCGGCUCAUCUCAUCCUGGGGCUGUAGCCGGUCCCAAGGGUAUGGCUGUUCGCCAUUUAAAGAGGUACGUGAGCUGGGUUUAAAACGUCGUGAGACAGUUUGGUCCCUAUCUUCCGUGGGCGCUGCAGAUUUGAGGAAGCCUGCUCCUAGUACGAGAGGACCGGAGUGGACACACCUCUGGUGUAUCGGUUGUCACGCCAGUGGCAUUGCCGAGUAGCUAAGUGUGGAAGAGAUAACCGCUGAAAGCAUCUAAGCGGGAAACUCGUUUCAAGAUGAGAUCUGCCUGGGCCUUGAGCCCCCUAAAGAGUCGUUCAAGACCAGGACGUUGAUAGGUCAGGUGUGGAAGCG
rnacentral:rRNA from 1 species